rnacentral:rRNA from 1 species
ACAAUGAAGAGUUUGAUCCUGGCUCAGGAUGAACGCUAGCUACAGGCUUAACACAUGCAAGUCGAGGGGCAGCAUUUCAGUUUGCUUGCAAACUGGAGAUGGCGACCGGCGCACGGGUGAGUAACACGUAUCCAACCUGCCGAUAACUCGGGGAUAGCCUUUCGAAAGAAAGAUUAAUACCCGAUGGUAUAAUCAGACCGCAUGGUCUUGUUAUUAAAGAAUUUCGGUUAUCGAUGGGGAUGCGUUCCAUUAGGCAGUUGGUGAGGUAGCGGCUCACCAAACCUUCGAUGGAUAGGGGUUCUGAGAGGAAGGUCCCCCACAUUGGAACUGAGACACGGUCCAAACUCCUACGGGAGGCAGCAGUGAGGAAUAUUGGUCAAUGGGCGCAGGCCUGAACCAGCCAAGUAGCGUGAAGGAUGACUGCCCUAUGGGUUGUAAACUUCUUUUAUAUGGGAAUAAAGUUUUCCACGUGUGGAAUUUUGUAUGUACCAUAUGAAUAAGGAUCGGCUAACUCCGUGCCAGCAGCCGCGGUAAUACGGAGGAUCCGAGCGUUAUCCGGAUUUAUUGGGUUUAAAGGGAGCGUAGGUGGACAGUUAAGUCAGUUGUGAAAGUUUGCGGCUCAACCGUAAAAUUGCAGUUGAUACUGGCUGUCUUGAGUACAGUAGAGGUGGGCGGAAUUCGUGGUGUAGCGGUGAAAUGCUUAGAUAUCACGAAGAACUCCGAUUGCGAAGGCAGCUCACUGGACUGCAACUGACACUGAUGCUCGAAAGUGUGGGUAUCAAACAGGAUUAGAUACCCUGGUAGUCCACACAGUAAACGAUGAAUACUCGCUGUUUGCGAUAUACAGUAAGCGGCCAAGCGAAAGCAUUAAGUAUUCCACCUGGGGAGUACGCCGGCAACGGUGAAACUCAAAGGAAUUGACGGGGGCCCGCACAAGCGGAGGAACAUGUGGUUUAAUUCGAUGAUACGCGAGGAACCUUACCCGGGCUUAAAUUGCAUUUGAAUAUAUUGGAAACAGUAUAGCCGUAAGGCAAAUGUGAAGGUGCUGCAUGGUUGUCGUCAGCUCGUGCCGUGAGGUGUCGGCUUAAGUGCCAUAACGAGCGCAACCCUUAUCUUUAGUUACUAACAGGUCAUGCUGAGGACUCUAGAGAGACUGCCGUCGUAAGAUGUGAGGAAGGUGGGGAUGACGUCAAAUCAGCACGGCCCUUACGUCCGGGGCUACACACGUGUUACAAUGGGGGGUACAGAAGGCAGCUACCUGGUGACAGGAUGCUAAUCCCAAAAGCCUCUCUCAGUUCGGAUCGAAGUCUGCAACCCGACUUCGUGAAGCUGGAUUCGCUAGUAAUCGCGCAUCAGCCAUGGCGCGGUGAAUACGUUCCCGGGCCUUGUACACACCGCCCGUCAAGCCAUGAAAGCCGGGGGUACCUGAAGUACGUAACCGCAAGGAGCGUCCUAGGGUAAAACUGGUAAUUGGGGCUAAGUCGUAACAAGGUAGCCGUACCGGAAGGUGCGGCUGGAACACCUCCUUU